UGGGGAAUAUUGCACAAUGGGCGCAAGCCUGAUGCAGCCAUGCCGCGUGUGUGAAGAAGGCCUUCGGGUUGUAAAGCACUUUCAGCGAGGAGGAAGGUGGUGAGCUUAAUACGCUCAUCAAUUGACGUUACUCGCAGAAGAAGCACCGGCUAACUCCGUGCCAGCAGCCGCGGUAAUACGGAGGGUGCAAGCGUUAAUCGGAAUUACUGGGCGUAAAGCGCACGCAGGCGGUUUGUUAAGUCAGAUGUGAAAUCCCCGGGCUCAACCUGGGAACUGCAUUUGAAACUGGCAAGCUAGAGUCUCGUAGAGGGGGGUAGAAUUCCAGGUGUAGCGGUGAAAUGCGUAGAGAUCUGGAGGAAUACCGGUGGCGAAGGCGGCCCCCCUGGACGAAGACUGACGCUCAGGUGCGAAAGCGUGGGGAGCAAACAGAUUAGAUACCCUGGUAGUCCACGCUGUAAACGAUGUCGAUUUUGGAGGUUGUGCCCUUGAGGCGUGGNUUCCGGAGCUAACGCGUUAAAUCGACCGCCCUGGGGGAGUACGGCCNCAAGGUUAAAACUUAAAUGAAUUGC
rnacentral:rRNA from 1 species